rnacentral:rRNA from 1 species
CCUACGGGCGGCAGCAGUGGGGAAUAUUGGACAAUGGGCGAAAGCCUGAUCCAGCCAUGCCGCGUGUGUGAAGAAGGCCUUCGGGUUGUAAAGCACUUUCAGUGGGGAAGAAAGCCUUGGGGCUAAUACCCUCGAGGAAGGACAUCACCCACAGAAGAAGCACCGGCUAACUCCGUGCCAGCAGCCGCGGUAAUACGGAGGGUGCGAGCGUUAAUCGGAAUUACUGGGCGUAAAGCGCGCGUAGGCGGUCUGAUAAGCCGGUUGUGAAAGACCCGGGCUCAACCUGGGAACGGCAUCCGGAACUGUCAGGCUAGAGUGCAGGAGAGGAAGGUAGAAUUCCCGGUGUAGCGGUGAAAUGCGUAGAGAUCGGGAGGAAUACCAGUGGCGAAGGCGGCCUUCUGGACUGACACUGACGCUGAGGUGCGAAAGCGUGGGUAGCAAACAGGAUUAGAUACCCGUGUAGUC